GCUGUCUAUAAAGUUUAUCAUAGCAAGGUGCUUAUCAUGUGUAUUUUUAUUAUUUCCGAAAAAAGAAUCAAUUCAUCAUUUUCCGAUAACUAGAUCUAUGUCCGACUCCUUUCUAAUGAAAACGAGCAAAAGUAAAACGAGUCUCUCGUCGCGCGCUAUAACGGGGUGUUUGCGGUAUUGUCCUCUCUGGUGAUGAUAAGCUAGUCGAUAGUCAAAAGUUAAAUAUCACCAUAUAUUGUCAGUGAGUUGGUCAUCGUUUGUUGAUGAUUAAAGUGAGAUAGGUGUAGCCAAUGUGCACCAAUGAAAAAUACAAUGGAAUUGAUAGCAACCAUAUUCUUUCGGUUUUCGAUCUGCAUAUGUUGCCACGUAGGCUACCAUACUACAGAAUUAUAUUUAACGAUAUUUAACUGUAUUAGAUCUAUGUUAAUAAACGUAGUGACAAAUAAAUUUCAAUAAAUAUUUAGAGCUGUUUCAACUUCGUCUGGUAUUGUAUAAGCUAUUGCAUUUUGUUUAUUUCCCCAUGUUUCUAAUCUUUGUAAAUGUUAGAACAUAUAUAACUAUCCUGGCAUAUUAAUAUGGAAAAUAUUAAGGUAGAUCUAAGUAUUAAAAAAAAUCACAGUUUUAAUUAGGAUAAAUACCCCGAAGUGUUAACACUUUUAUCACUUAUUGGUGGGCCAAUUCAUAAUUCAUAUUCAACAUUCUUGCUUCAAAUAUGGGAACUAUUUAUUUUAUUUGGCAAUAUAUAUUUUUCAUUUAUGUACAUAUUUUUCAAAUAAGGUUUUAGAAACUUGGCCAUGAUAUUCACUUGAAUCACUAGUUUGAGUGUACAGCAGAAAGGUAAAGUUACUGCUUUUGAAAAACUACAGUUGAUCUGUUGACUGAUAAAACUAUUUGCCAAUAUUACUAUCAGUUACAUCAUACUCUAUUAGUCUAAGUAAAUGGGAUUUAUCUAUACAGUACUGGUUUAUUUAAGAAUGUGAUAAUUUGUGGUUUCUGUUUUUCUUUCAGGUGGAGAAAACAGUAUUGUGGGAGCGUAUUUGUUUAAAGUACAUAUCACUGACAGAAAGUUACCAAGGCAUAAGGAGAGACUGAGGAUACAGUUGAAGAUCAUCCCUGUGACUUUUCAUUUGAGGACUGAAAAGGCUCCCCAGCAACUCAGCCCAUGUUCUGACUUGUCAUUUAACAAAUAAAUAAAGGUCACCUCAA
rnacentral:lncRNA from 1 species